rnacentral:rRNA from 1 species
AACGCGAAGAACCUUACCCACUUUUGACAUGUCCAGUUUGGGCUGCAGAGAUGCGGUCCUUCACCUCGGGUGGCUGGAACACAGGUGCUGCAUGGCUGUCGUCAGCUCGUGUCGUGAGAUGUUGGGUUAAGUCCCGCAACGAGCGCAACCCUCGCUACUAGUUGCCAUCAGGUUAAGCUGGGCACUCUAGUGGGACUGCCGGUGACAAACCGGAGGAAGGUGGGGAUGACGUCAAGUCCUCAUGGCCCUUAUGGGUAGGGCUUCACACGUCAUACAAUGGCGCGUACAGAGGGUUGCCAACCCGCAAGGGGGAGCUAAUCUCAGAAAGCGCGUCGUAGUCCGGAUUGCAGUCUGCAACUCGACUGCAUGAAGUCGGAAUCGCUAGUAAUCGCGGAUCAGCAUGUCGCGGUGAAUACGUUCCCGGGUCUUGUACACACCG